rnacentral:rRNA from 1 species
UACGGAGGGUGCAAGCGUUAUCCGGAUUCACUGGGUUUAAAGGGUGCGUAGGCGGGUAAGUAAGUCCGUGGUGAAAUCUCUGAGCUUAACUCAGAAACUGCCGUGGAUACUAUUUGCCUUGAAUAUUGUGGAGGUGAGCGGAAUAUGUCAUGUAGCGGUGAAAUGCUUAGAUAUGACAUAGAACACCAAUUGCGAAGGCAGCUCACUACACAAUCAUUGACGCUGAGGCACGAAAGCGUGGGGAUCAAAAGGG